UUCCUUUUCCCCCAAAUCGCCUCCCGAUCAACACACAACAAGAAGAUCUUCUCUACACUUCACUCCGAUCUACCGUCGCUGGUUUGACGCUCGUGUUCUCUGAGUUAUGGACAUCGUAAAUCUUCCUCGCCGCAUUAUAGUUCUCACGAAAUUGAACAGAUUAAGUUAUUGAACAACGAGGUGCUGCAGAGGUGGACUUAUAACUGUUUGAAGAUCGUAUAUUAGACCUUUUCUCCUUCUGUGGUUUGCUCUGCCCGGCUGGCCCUUUCUUGAUUGGGGUUGUAGCAAAUAAUAUUGUUAUUAAGCUGUAAUGGUCCCGGAGAUCACACUUAUCCUCCCAACUAAUGCUGGAGCGAAAAUUCUCGGUGAUGUACUCAACGGAGAUAAUAUCGAGUAGAUUUACCAGGAUUUGGUUCGCCGCCCGUGAUUGCAGCCUCCAUGAGUCUGCACUCGACUAGCUGGGUCAUUCAUAGUAGUGUUUAUGAGUUGCCCUUAAGAUCAUACUUCCGUAUGAUAUUAGAUUUAUCGAUUUAUGUAUUACUUUUUGGUUUUUCGUAUCGCUAUUUAGUAGGUUGUUAUGUGGUGUACGGAUUGGUGUUUUGUUGGGAUGUUUUGUUAGCACCGUUGACGACUAAUAUUGUAUUUUUGGUUGGACU